GUAAAAAUGUUCAUUAGGUCAAAAUCUAUCAGCCCUGAAAUUUUCAGAUGAAUCAAACAAACCAUUGUUGGGUUGCUGCCACUUAAUUGGUAAUUUUAAGGAAAUUUUGCAGUUUUUGGUCAUUAUCUUGAAUAUUAUUAUAGAUAAAGAUAAACUGUAAACAGCAAAAAUGAUCAGCAAAGAAAGAUCUACAAAUAAGUUA
rnacentral:lncRNA from 1 species